ensembl:lncRNA
ACUGCGCCAGCGCCGGCGCUGUCUCUCUGUGAGGGCGGAGCUGCGUUCUCCUCAGCCCAGAGCCGGAGAGCAUCGCAAGGGCGGAGCUGUGUUCUCGUCUGCACAGACCUCGGGGGUACCGUGAGGGCGGAGCAGCGUUCUACUCAGCCCAGACCCAGGCGUAGGGGGCACCGCCAGGGCGGAGUUGCGUUCUGCUUAGCACAGACCCGGGAGACGCCGCCAAGGCGGAGCAGCCUUCUCCUCAGCACAGAGCUGUUGUCUUCCUACAAACUGAACGAAAAUGAAAAGGAAGUCAUUUCUGCAUGUGUCACAGAGGCAUCCUUUGGUUCCAAAGGGAGCUGAGUUGGAUUCCACAAGCGCAUGGUCCUUGUAGCAUGUGAAUAGGAUUCAGUCACGGACGAGAAGGAAGGGUUCAGGGGAGACUGUCACCGCCCUGUCCAGGCUAACACUCCAGCUGCCCAGGUGACAGGCUGGCCUGUGUUUGUGUUGUGUAAGUGUGUACAGCUGCUAAUGUAGGGUCCAGAAACAUCUUACAGAGUAAGCCUAUCGCUACAUGUAGUUUUAUGUGGGUAUAAAUGCAUUUCAGUUCUUAACAUGAACAUUUGUACAGUGCUUCCAAGUGAGGGUUUGACUGCCUCACAUCUGGAAUCCUUCAAGUUUAUCCUUCUUGGAGUCAGUGUCGUGAACGUUUUCCCCUAGGUCAAGAGUCUGCUGUCAACAUGAUGUUCUCUAAUUACACGGCUUCAUACAACUCCGAGCUUUGUGGACAUAUAUUUUUGUAUUUAAGGUGUUCCUUCUUUUACUUCUGUUUAUAGUUCAUCCUUGACACUGCUCUUUUCCCACUGUCUUUAUCUCAGGUCCUUUCCAAGCUUUCAUCCUGGCUGACUUCUUUUAAGUAAUGGAAGGAGAGGACGUGGGGUCAGUCAGCCUGACUUCCGAUCCCUUCUCCACCCAUUGUGGGGAAAAGAAAGAGAUCAGCCUGUUACUGUGUCUAUAUAGAAAGAAGUAGACACAAGAGGCUCCAUUUUGUUCUGUAUUUGAGAUGCUGUUAAUCUGUGACCCUACCCCCAACCUUGUCCUUGCAAGAGACAUGUGCUGUGGUGACUCAAGGUUUAAUGGAUUUUGGGCGUGCAGGAUGUGUCUUUGUUAAACAAGCGCCUGAAGGCAGCUUGCUGGUUAAAAGUCAUCACCAUUCUCUGAAUUUCAACUACCCAGGGACACCUACACGGCCAAAGAUUGCAGGGACCUCUGCCUAGAAAAGCUAGAUAUUGUCCAAGGUUUAUCCCCAUGUGAUAGGAUGAAACAAUGCUGCUAAAAGGUUUAUGGAGAUGUUUGCAUAUGUAUCUCAAGGCACAGCAUUUUCCUUUAAACUUAUUCAUGUCACAGAGAUCCUUGUUCUUAUGUCUUAUUUCCUCCCUAAAAACGAUCCUAUUGUCCUGCCACUCCCUUAUCUUUAAGAUGGUAAAGAUAAUUAUCUAUAAAUACUAAGGGAACUCAGAGACCGGUGCCGGCGUGGGUCCUCUGUAAGCUGAGCGCCGGUCCCCUGGGCCCCGCUUUUCUUUCUCUA